AGGGGGUAAAUUUAAUAAUUGAUAAAUAUGAAAAAAAUUUUUAAUAUAAUAUAUUUAAUGGGGGUUAAAGUAUUUUUAUAGAAAAAAUUUAAAAAUUUAUAGUGAAAUAGUAUUGUAAAAGAAAAUUGAAAAUAUUGAAAUAAAAAUUUAUUUAAAAGUAAAUUUUAUUUAUUGUAUCUUGUGUAUCAGAGUUUUUUAAUUAAAAGAAAUUAGUUAAAUUUAUUUCGAAAUUUAAAGAGUUAAUUAAUUAAAAAAGUUAAUGUUGCAUAAUUAUUUUUAAUAAUUAAUUAGAAAUGAAAAGUUAAUCGUUUUGAAUGAUAUCUAAUUUUUUUAGAAAAAAGUUUAAUUUUAAAUAAAUUUUUAAAUUAAUUAAUUAAUUAAUUAAUUUAAAAUUUAAUUUUAUAUUUUAAGGGAUAAGCUUUAAAUUAUAGUUUUAUAAUAAUAAUAGUAAUAAUAAUUGAAAUUUUUAAAAUUUAUAUUUUUUAUAAAUUAUAGUUUUUUAUAAAUAAUUUCAUUUAAUUAAAAUUUUAUUUUAAUUUAAAUUUUUAUAAAAAAAUAUUUUUUAAUAAAAUAAAAAUAGAUAUAAUGAUAAAAUUAGUAUAUAAUUUAUAAAUAAAAUAAAAAAUUAUUUAAAUUAAUAAAAAGGAAUUCGGCAAAAAUUUAUAUUCACUUGUUUAUCAAAAACAUGUCUUUUUGUUAAUAAUUUAAAGUCUAAUCUGCCCCCUGAAUUAUUUUAAAGGGCUGCCGUAUAUUGACUGUACAAAGGUAGCAUAGUCCUUAGUCUUUUAAUUGAAGACUUGUAUGAAUGAUUUGAUGAAAUAUAAACUGUCUCUUUAUUAGAAAUAGAAUUUAAUUUUUUAGUUAAAAAGCUAAAAUAUAUUUAAAAGACGAGAAGACCCUAUAGAGUUUUAUAUUAAAAAUAAUAUUAAUUUUAUAUAAAAUUUUUAUUUAAUAUUUUUUUGAAUAUUUUAUUGGGGUGAUAGAAAAAUUUAAUAAACUUUUUUUAAAAAUUUUACAUUAAUAUAUGAAAUUUUGAUCCCAUAAUUUAUGAUUAAAAGAUUAAAUUACCUUAGGGAUAACAGCGUAAUUUUUUUUUUUAGUUCUUAUAAGAAAAAAAGUUUGCGACCUCGAUGUUGGAUUAAGAUAAAAUUUAAAUGCAAAAGUUUAAAAUUUUGAUCUGUUCGAUCAUUAAAAUCUUACAUGAUCUGAGUUCAAACCGGUGUGAGCCAGGUUGGUUUCUAUCUUUAAAUAAAAUUAAUAAUUUAGUACGAAAGGAUCAGUUAUUAAAAAUAAUUUUUAAAAUUAGAAUAUUAAUAAUUUUUU
rnacentral:rRNA from 1 species